rnacentral:lncRNA from 1 species
GGUGGAUUGGGGUGGGAUGAUCGCUGAGGUUGGUCAUCAAGUUCAAAAUUUGGAGGCAAGGAGAGGAAAAGCUUCUUUGUGUGUCCUGUUCUCUCCUGCGUGAAAUUCGCAGGGAAAUGAUGACAAGAAAAGGCAUCACAAGACUGGGUUCUCUGCAGAUCGUGGGACAGUCGUGGGACCGUGUCACACGGGAAAACAUAGCGAGCUCAGGCUGAGUUCACCAAGCCCUCACAGAGACUGAGUACUACAGGGAACUGUAGCUCGUCGGGCUCCAGGGCGCGGGAGUGCUCCGCCCCAGGGCGCCACGACCUAGCCCAUUCCCGGAGUGCUUAUCUUUUCUGUCUUUUCCUUCCCCUUCUUGGGCGUCUGCUUUCCCGCCAGACAAAAGGCACAAAGAGGAUGUGUUUCCUCAACUCCUUUUCUAGGAGCUUUUUAUCCAGUUUCUUGUCCGCAGCCUCUACCCCAGGCUGGGUGCCCAGGCGGUCUCCGGAGAGGAGGAGGAGGAGGAGGAGGAGGAGGGGUAGGAAGGAGGAGGAGGGAGCCGAGGAAGACGCGGAGCCUCCACCCGCCAGCCGGGAGCACUUGCAGCAGGUGCAGGAGGCUGGGCCCCGGGUUUGCACUCUGCGGCGGUGCCUGGGCCUCAGGAAGCCGACCCGGGAAGACCCGCCAGCCCGAAAAAAGUGAGCUGGAGAGAGGAAUAGAAGCGCCGGUUUCUGCUUAUUAUUCGCUGUUUCUGAUGGCCAAGAGCAAGGGGCAGUCAAGGCCAUUAAUGCAGAACUGGAAUUCAGCGAGGAGCGCCUCUUCUGCAGACUGCCCCCCGCUAGGGCGCGGGGAGGGCACCGGUUCCUCUGCGCGGAAAGGAGGGGGAGAAAGUCGCUAAGAGAAAAAUCCGGUGUGGCCCAGAUCUCCGGGUGCACAUUCCCGGGAGAGGAGCGCGCCGUUUCCAGCGCGGUGCAGCGCUCCGAGCGGCGGCCACCAGCGACCCAGCGCGCGAGCACAACGCGACCCACGAAGGGGGCUCGCGGGAGGCACCAAGAAGCACCGGCGCAUCAGAGCGGAGAACCCGCAGCCGAACCUUGCCGGGGCGCACCCAGCACCGGGGCGGGGGCCAGGACUUCGCUUCCACCGCAUGGGAUGAGCUGUGCAAGGUGGAGGAAGGCGGCGCAGAGCCGGGGGACGAAGCCCGGACCGGACAGGAAUCCCGGGGAGAAAGAAGGGGGCCCCAGCCUGGCCAGGAGGGGCAUUUUUGUCAGAGGGGGUAUUGGGGGAGUCCCUGAGCGCCGCGGAUUCCAGGGGGGCAGCGCGGACGCCCAUUCCCUGUUCUCCCCCGAGAGAAGCGGUUCCCGUGGGGCAGGAAGGGCUCUCAGCUCUUUGAGAUUGAGAUUCACAGGAAUCUAA